GAGUUUGAUCGUGGCUCAGGAUGAACGCUAGCGGCAGGCCUAACACAUGCAAGUCGAGGGGCAGCACGGUGUAGCAAUACACUGGUGGCGACCGGCGCACGGGUGCGUAACGCGUAUGCAACCUACCCAUAACAGGGGGAUAACACUGAGAAAUUGGUACUAAUACCCCAUAACAUCAGGACCGGCAUCGGUUCUGGUUGAAAACUCCGGUGGUUAUGGAUGGGCAUGCGUUGUAUUAGCUGGUUGGUGAGGUAACGGCUCACCAAGGCAACGAU
rnacentral:rRNA from 1 species